GAUGUGACGUUACGACCACCGCCCCUUCCGGGAGCUAGCGCGCGGGGCCUCAGGAGCGUAGGUCAGAGGUUCCUCUCCGCCAGGACUAGUGAGUGGGGCAGGUCUGGGGUCACGUACCUGGCUCGGGGUGCGGGGCUCCGAAACGCGUCCCGGCCCAGUGCGGACGCCUUAGAGGCAUCGGGAGGCGCGUAGCCUAACCCCGGGGUCGCCCAGCUCAGCGUCUGCGCUUCCUGUGUUUUCAUUGCAGGCGGUGGGGAGGCAGGAAACGUUAUGCUCAGAGUAGUGCACAUAGGCGGUGCUGGACUUAGGUGUUGGCCUUUUGUGUCGGUAGAAGUUGGCGCUGCUUGUGAAGUGACAUAGACCCUGGCUCAUAUAAGCGGGUUAAAAAAAUAACAAGUUCGUAUUUUGGGAGGGACACGAGUGCAAGUAACGCCCGCCUGAAAUUUAUAUUACCUUUUACAAACAUCCACUUGAGGGGAAAAUUUGGGACAAAUAUGCCGCCCUUUGGAUUAGGGACAUUGAGUAUUAAAUCUUUUUGUUAACAGAACAUUUGAUAAAGUUUGUGAAAGAGUUACCCUUAGAAGUAAAAGUGGGGCUGACAUAGUCAUAAGUAGAAUAUAUGCAACUAGAGAGCUUAUCCCAGGUCUAUACUUAAUAGAACCACUGGGUAGAAUAGUCCAUUGACUGAACGUGCAGGUGUUUUCACUUAAUACACUGCAAAAAUCACGUUAACUAAUACAUACUGUUUUGUCCAUGCUGUAAGUAUAUGUAUCUGAGGUAGCAUACACUAAGUUGUGGAUAAUGAUAGACAGAAUGGGAAACCCAUUAAGUUGUGUACACCUUGCAUUUCUUUGAUGAAGAGGGGGAAAGUAAUUAAAUGAUUGGUCAGAGGAUUCGCAGAACAGGCCAAGAAAGUGACAUUACUGUUUUAAGAGUCCCUCAAUAUAGCAAGAGUAGAAGCAGAGUGACUUUAGAAUGACAAAAGAGGAAUUUUGAAAAUUAUUGUUUUGUAAGUUUAGCAUUUUUCACGUGUGCAUACUCAUAAUGGGCAUUACUAAGCACAGCUAUGCCUGUUUUUAUUUUAGUCCCUUUAACAUGAUUUAAUGUGAAUAAAAUCAGAAUUUGUCUAAAUAAAAAAAAAGUAAAAGUGGGGUAUAAAUAGAAGCUAUCAUUAAUUGCAACAAAUAAGGUUUAAGUAAGCAGGAAGCAAUCUUCGUUCGUUAGCAAUAUUUUAGUCAACUAGGUAUAUUUCUAGGUGCUGGGAGAUGACGAUGAGCCAACCAUAGACAAGUCCCCUCACUGAAGGUAAACUAAUGAGAGAUGACUUUAAUCAGGUCAUCAUAAAGAUAACUGUAAAAUGUGAAAUGUAAUAAUUGAACUAGAAAAGAAUAAUAUGAUCUUGUGAGAGCAUUUGACACAUGAAGGAGCUGAGAAAGGAUUGGAUUUGGGGGAAAAACAGGAUUUCCAAUCAGAGGAAACCAAGUCCUGUUACUGUGCAUCAUCUCUAGAAAAGGCAUGUUCAGGAUGAAGUAUUAAAGAAUUAAUUUCCAGGGUGCCUGGGUGGCUCAAUUAAGCAUCUCACUUGAUUUCAGCUCAGGCCAUGAUCUUGUGGGUUUGAGCCCCAUGUUGGGCUGUGUGCUGACACCAGGGAGCCUGCUUGGGAUUCUCUCUCCCUCUCUCUCUCUGCCCCUCCACCCCUCAUGUGCUCUUGCACUCUCUUACUCUCUCAAAAUAAACUUAAAAAAAAAAAAAGGAAUCUCCUUAUUGCACUUGAAGGUUCCCCUGAUCAAACAUGCCAUUAUCGUUCUUAGGCACUAGAAUCCCACAUGACUGUUUAAUAAGAAACCAAGAGCCAGCAUAAGGGAAAUGAGUAUAUAUAAAUCCAGUUCAGGGAUUCCAGGACUGCCAGGGAUAUAGUUAAGGCCUGGUAAGUAUUUUAUUUCAUUCCCUCUCCAAUACAACUGGUAUAGCUGUUGUAUCAAGGAUAAUUUAAACAGCACUGCAUGACCUGGCCCUUCCUGCCUGUCUGGACUACCUCUCCGGUUCUGAAUCCUAUCUUUCAGAUACUCAGCAUUGCUUGCUGUUUCUAAUUCUCUGCUGAGAACCCUUCUCCUAAUUUCUCAAGCAGAACAUCUUUAUGUCUAAGACACUUUGAACAUGCCCAAUUAUAGGACUAAGCUCAUUGCAUUAGAUUUAUUUGUAUUUCAUGCGCAGCAGUAAGGACCACCAACAAAAAACAGCCAGGAACAGAAUUGUAGAAAAAAAAGUAAUAAUAAUAAGUUAAGUUUAUUGAACUUGCUACAGCAAAGGAAUUCACCAGAGGAACUGUGAGGCUCCUUAAAAGGGGGGAGUUAUGGAAGCAUCCAUGUGAGGGUUAGGGCCGGUGUUAGUAACAGAUAGUCUUGGCAGGGAUGGGUCAAAAUUUAUAAACUUGGAGAGUCAUUGGAGGAGUCAGUGGUCUUAUCUGGAACACAUGAGUCCAUGUGGAGUUAUUGGGAGGUCAGCUUGUCUUAUCUUGGAGCAAAUGGUCUGAAUGAGCUAAAUUAGUUAAAUGGUCUGAAUGUAAUGCUUGUUUUUGCUGGGCAGUGCAGUUUAGUACCGUUUUUCUGUUUGCAAGUCAUGGUGAGGUCCACAUUGCUGUUUGUGGCUUCAGUUCUCCCCCCAGGCUCCAGCCUAGCUGCCACCCAGUUAUCAGCAGGGAGAUGGGACCCCUAUAAUUGGUUAGACCAAGUUUCUCAACUUCAGCACCACUGACAUUUUGGGCCAGAUAAUUCUUUGUUGGGGGUGGCAGGGAGAAGCUCUCCUGUGCAUUGCAGGAUGUUUAGCAGCAUCCCUGGCCUCCAUCCACCAGAUGCCAAUAGCGUCCCACCUAGUGAUGCUAAUUAGUAAUGUCUCCAGACAUUUCCAAGUGUCCCCUAGGAGACAAAAUAGCCCCUGGUUGAGAACCACUGGGUUAGACCAACCAGAAGCCACCCUCUUUGCACCCUGAGACUGGGGAUGAGGCCCACUUUCAUUAAACUUUGGCCCACAUGGAGGGCAAUUGAUUUCAAUAAAUCAGGGUUCUACCAGCAUGGAAGGAGAGGCAGUGAUGCUGGGCAAGCAGCCAAUUGUAUACCUCACAGCUUAAACUAGAAAUACUCCCUAUUUCCAGUCCAGUGCUUUUUCCCAAUCCCAUACUGUUUCCAUUUCUUUCACAGAUAUCUGCUGAGAGCCUUCCAGGUGCUCAGCCAAGUGCUGUGACGAAACGAAGGUGAAAUAAGGUGAGCCAACAUGCAGACAUGUUAUAAUCUCAGAGGGGAGAUAAGCCUAAUAACCGAUAUAAAACAGUGUCAUGGAAGAACUGCAUGAUGCCUUGGGGGCCACAAGGAACAAGUGCCAUCAGGUAGCAAUGCCCAGAGAAGGUUUCAUGGAGGAGGUGAUGUGUGAACCAGGCCUUGGAUAAGUAACAUUAUAAUGGGCAGGUUGAGGGGAUGGAAGAGGACAAGAAACAGGCCAAAAGUAUGGAGUGCCCAUGGAUUGAUCGAUAAGGUGAUGACAAUCAGGGCAGACUUCAAGGUUAUGAGUAAUCAAGGAAGACAAACCAUCUCAAAGGGGUAAAGAAGAGCAGCAAUAGACAGAGCCCUUCUCCCUGCCCUGAAUCCAGGGGAGAGAAAGAGUGGCCUGCCCUAAACAGGGCUUCAAGCUAACUUGUAUUGUGAUAGGAAGCUCUGGUGUCAGCUCGGGCAGGAAAGUGGAAAGUUAGAGAAUGUAAAAUAACUUGUUCACUGUAGAAAAAGCAUCUUAGAGAUCAUGCAGGUCCCAGGCACAGACAUCCACAAAAGCCCACUUAAGAUGAGGGAGGGAUCUAUUGGAAGGAUAUGGGGAUAUCUCACAGAAUACCAUCACAGAAAAUACAGCCAAGCCUCACAGGGACUGGAACAAGGGCCUGGAAAAACAGGAACAAUGUUCGUCUCAUCCUCCCUGGGGCCUCGCCACGUUUUGUCUCUUGGUCCCUGCAUGUUUCUGGGGCAAGCCCUGUUAUUUGACUGCCUCCCUUCUUUUUUGCUGCCCUCUACUACAGCUGGAUACAUUGUUACUUUUCCAGCUCCUAAAGCUAAGGUGGUCCUAGGCUAGAUUCUGGCCUUGAGAUAAAGAAAUCUAGGGUUUCUUUUGACCUCUAGGAAAAGUUUUUGCUUUUCUGAUAAAAGGGAGAGAUAGGCCUUGCCCUUUCUUCUGCUCUGAACCCCAGAGUUGUGCUUAGAGUGACAGUAGUGUCUUGUGACCAUGGGAAAACACCUUGAGGUCUAAACGACAGCAGUCUGAGAACAGAAAACCUAGGCUGCUCACCUCUGCCAGCAACCACCUACACCUGGGCUUUCAGAUUACAUGAGGAAAACAACCCCUCAUGCAUGUGAGCAGUUUGUGCUUGCACCUGAAUGCGUUCCAUCUGACACGCAUUCUCUGCAUGGACAUGUCCAUGGCAGAAAACUACUGCCUCAAGCCCAGUUCUCCAUGACUUCCCAUUUCAGGAAUCCCACCAACUAACUACAGUCUCUUUGUCCCAAGUCCAGAUUCCUGAAUUGAGACUCUAAUGUUCCCAACUUUGGUGAGGUGUCCAAGCCUGGUGCUGUGUUAGAGGACAAAAUCCCACGUUCCACUGAACGUUCAGGAGGAACGAGAGAGGGAACUAGGCGGCAGGACUAUGCGUGAGCAGGACAGGACAGCACAUUGAAUGAUGUCUGCUCCAAUGAGAAGCAGGUAGGGGAAGAGCUCUGGAGGCUGAAGUGAAAGAUCGAGGUGCAAACAGAUUUGGUGUCUGGCGAGAACUUUCCUCCUGGUUCAGAGGUCACCAUCUUGUCAUCGCUCUGUCCCCACAUGAUGGAAGGAGCAAAGGAGCUCUCUGUGUCCUCUUUUAGAAGUGCACUGAUUCCAUUCAUGAAGGCUCAGCUCUUAUAACCACCUCUUAUAACCUCUUAUAACCACCUACCAAAGGCCCCACCACCUCCUGUGAUACCAUCACCUUGGAGAUGAGGAUUUCAACAUAUGAAUUUGAAGGGACACAAACAUUCACACCAUUGUGAUAGCCAAGCACAUCUUUUGAUUGAUUACAUGGUGUAAAGAUGUACAUGGAUUCCAUUUAAGUCUUGUUUCUAAUGUAGACAACUUGUAAUCACCUUACAUAUCCAUUCAUAAUGGUUAAAUAAAUGCUCAAAUUCAGUGGUUUGCUACAUGCAGCCAUUACAAAGAAGAUGGGUCACCGUCUACUGAUGGGGAGAUAGUCAUGUAACACUGGAAGGGAGAAAAGAAGUACAGAGUAAUAUGGAAAAGCCUCACUAACUUAUGUGAAACGUUUGGAUGAAAAGUAUGUUGGAAACCAGAAUCUGUCACAUUUUAGGGACAUUAUGCAAGACUUCCUCCUCAUGUGAAAACAGAUUGAGUAAUUGAGACUCACACUCUCCAUGGGGAUAAUGAUGAGCAAAACAUUUACAACACUUGCAUACCAACACCAGAGAGCCUGAGCGUGGUAAGGAAUUACUGGGCCAGGGAAAACAGAGGCUCAGGGAGGUGAGGCCACUGCUGGGAGCCACUUUUUCCCGACAGCAUCUGCAAGUUCUGGGGAAAGUUGGGAGGCCAUGCCACGUUUCAGACAGCUGGUUCUCAGUUGGUUCAAAGACACACCAGUAAGAGUCCUACUGAGUCAUGUGAGACAGAGCAGUGGUUCACAGCGCUGGCUGGCCCGAUGUGAGUCUGCUUGCGUUGGUUUCCCUCCUUCCCUGUUUCACAACCUCAUUCCUCACACCUGUCCCUGGAAUCACAUUCCUAAGCAAAUCACCUGCACGCAGGCCCUCAUCUCAGUUUCUGCUCCAGGACCAUGGAGAUGAAGGCAGUAAGAGAACUAGAAAAUAGAAUGUGAGAGGUCCCAACAUAUGGGAAGUUAACGAUCUUCAAAAAAGGAGACCAAAUAGGCAAAAACUACAUAUGAACAGAUAAUGAUUGAAAUAUUUCUGGAACUGAUUAAGAUGGACAACAAGCCAUUAAGAUGGACCAAGAAGCCCUACAGAGCCCAAGCAGGACAAAUAAAACAAGUCAACCAAAAAGUAAUACUGCAAAAACUAAAGACCAUUGGUAUUCACAGGUGGAGAAAUUGUGUAUUUACUUGGUUUAAUCCUGUUAUGCAGCAAAAUUCCCAAACAGUGAUGAAGGGAAACCUUACAUAACUCCAGUUAAAGAUCACUGAAACUCAAAUUGGCAUCACCACCCCUCCAAAAGCACUGUCUCCUGGAAAGCUUCCUCUCGGCCUGGAUUUAGGCUUCUCCCCCCUAUCAAAGAUAGAGCUACUCAGAGGUCAACAGUAAGGUGCCUUAAAAAAGCAAUAAAAUAAUAAAACUAAAAUGCCGUUGAUAUUCUUCAAAGCUCUCGCAAGAAGGGACCACACCACCUUUGGUUUGAACUUGGGGGUCAAGGGUGGAGUCAGACCAGCUCCAUCCACACCCCAGCUCUGCCCCGAAGUGAAAUGAGAGGAGGAGAUGGGGUGACCUGCUUAGGGCCUCCUUGCACACUGUGCCCAACAGUAUAAGCAUUGCUGCUGUGCUCCUGACAUUGGGUAUCCUGAGGGCGGCUGGCGCAGUGGGUGCAAGUCAGCUCUGCAAGGAUUGAUGGCUCAGGUUCAUUCCACGGCCAGAUCUCCUCUCUCAAGUCAGGCCAGAGAGACUGGGUGAGAAUUCACACUCCCCUUGCUUUUCUAUGAUCUCACUGCUGUGGGUGAACCUGGAAUGAGCAUGAGCCUGAAUCAGCUCAUGACUGAUCUUUAGAUAACUGCUGUCAUGAACAUUAGCUGUGAUUUUUCUGUUUCUAGACUUAAUAGGGACAUUUUCCCUUUGGGAAUUAAUUAUGUUGGAAAGCUGAAUUUUCCCUUGAAGCACAACUUUUCAUUUUGUUUUAGCUACUCUAAAUGAGAAUUAUUCUUCAAAGGUACCGCAUACUGCUUUUUUUCUGAAUCUGAAUAGAAUUUCCCUUUGGGUUUAUUGUUAUUACCAAUUUCAUGCUGGCCUGGAGACGCACUUAAUGCCAAGAUUAGCUGUCUCUGGAUCCCAGUCCAACCCUGUCUCUGUUUCCACACCUACAGAUGUCUCCUCUCUGCUUUCACUAUAGCUGCCUUCUCUUCUCUCUGCUUCUCAGUUUUCCUGACUUGGUUUUUGCUAGGACAUCUCAGUUCUGACAGAAAAUCCAAAGCAAAAAGUGACAUCUGAGGUCAGGGCAGAUGUGGUACAGCUUGACCAGCCUCUGCACAUCUACCUCCUGGGCUCCAUUUUUCCUGUGCCCUUCUGUUCUCAGACAGGCCCUGCCUCAGGGCAGCCAAAAUCCUACUGUAGCUCAUCUGUACAUCCUGUCUGUGGCCAUAGAUUAUUCCCGCAAAAGAGGGAUCCUGCCGUGACUUCCCACCGCAACCUGGGGUGCAAAAAUGUGUCUUUCCCCAUGCAUUCAGUGCCUGGCUGAGGCCCCUGGGAAUACUCCCAGCCUCCCUGCCCCCCAACCUCCAGAGCACAAGAACAAGCACUGUUCCUAGGAAUAGCCAUUCCCAGUUCCUGCUUUGGUCCAGCUUUCUUAGGAGACAGUUGGGUCAGGGCCUUUCACCUCCCAUCCCCCAUGUCCCCAGUUCAUGGAAACCUCAUCCACCCACAUCUAAAGAAAGGACAAACCUGAGUAAUGGGACGUCUCUCUCAGGCAAGCCUGUGCUUUUCACAGAGGCAGUCUAUGACAAUGAGAUUCUUUUUGCUUCCCUGUCCUCGUCUGUGCUCCAAAUCAGUGCCCACCACCAGAACCUUGUGUGAAGGUGGAAAUGUUCUUGUCCAUGCUGUCCAAUCCGGUAGCUAUUUGCCACGUGGCUACUGAGCAUGUGAACUGUGGCUACUGCCACUGAGGAACUGAAUAUUUUAUUUUAUUCUUCUCUAUUCUGUAUAUAUUUUUUACUUAUGCCUAAAUAGCUAUGUAUAACUAGUGUAUUGGAUAGCACAGCAAUCUAGACACAGAUAGGUUUACCAAAUAAGAGUGUAAGAUAGGUAAGCUCUUAGUAUGUAUUUCCUCCCUGUAAAGGAUUUCCUCCCCAAUGGAUUUUUUUUUAAGUGUUCUCUUUUGAAUGACUAGGCCCUUUCAGUUUUGUCCUUGGGAUUAUAUUCAGCAAUAACAAUAGCAUUAUUUGAUCAAAAACAUCACAACAGAAGGAAGAGAAUGAACAAAAUAAACUUUAUUUUAACUAUCCUGCUCACUGUCCGAGUUUAUACCCCAGCCAUUUCAUAAAUAGCACCAUACCUACAGUCUGCCAAGUCCACCACACAUGUGACAGGUCCAAGUGCAUGGUUCUCUGUUGCUAAGCGCUGCUUGUUACUUAGCAACAGAGAACAGACCAUCACUCUAUUUCUGUGGGCCACAGCCAGUGGCCACCCUGUUGGUGUCACAGGCAUACUUGCCUAAUCAGAGAGAAGCCAGCACAACUAUGACCCACAGUAGGUGUUCAGUUCCCCAGACACCCCUUGAACACCUACACAGCUGCAAGGCACAUAUAAUGUGGGGUAAAGAUAAGAACAACCUUUCCCUGUUUCCAAGGACCCAGCUCAGCAGGCUGCCUUCACCUGUGUUCCACGCCACUGGCCCUCUUGUGCUUGGCUAAUAAACACUUUGCAAACCUAAAGGUUUAUGUCAUCUUGCUAAUGUUCAGAUGGCUUAAGGCAUUCUUAAGAAAAAGAGAGACACCUGAUUCAGAGUUCUAAGUCUCAUCCUUGGACCUCUGUGGUUCUUCCCACACCAACCACAGAAUGAAGGAUAGGCAGUUUUCAAGGAUCCAGUCCUGGCCAAACAAGUCACCUGAGUUUUCAUGGGCUUCCCCGAACAUCCGUACAUAUUUGGAGCAUGCUGACCUUCUACCAAGAGGCAUUUGAGGUGGAAAGGGGAAUCUUUCCACAUCACAGCUUGGAGAAACAGAAUAUAUGAGUGGUUCUAGAACUAAAAUUGGAGCACGUUCACACCAUCACUUUUAGAAGUUAGAUUUCAUUAUACAUAAGACAGGGUAAAUAGAAAUAUACACCAAAACAAGGAUGCUACAAGCUUGAAAGUUCUCAAGAUAGCUAUAUUUAGACAGAGGUACAAACAUUUCAAAUUCAGAUUCCCAGAAUGCCAACAUUAAAAAGGCAUCCUCUGACCCUCUCCACAUUUCCCCAUGAGCAAAGGCACAAAAGGAUAUUUUCAUAACUCUAAAUGUUACGAAGAAUGUGUAUAAGUAAAUCUGCACACUACAUGUGUAUAUCUGCGCAUUCUUCCAAAAUAUAAAAGUAUAAAAAUAAAAUUUCUGCCUUUUGUAUCUAGUACAUCUGGGGGAAAAAAUAUGAUUGCUUCUGGUUCUCAGUCAUCUGAGCAGGCACACCUCACCUUCCUGUGCUGUCUGGAGGUGACACAGAAAUGGAGAUGACAUUGACUUUUCAUCCCAGGAAACCAAAUUCAGGACAAGGGAAACAAAUGCUAAGCAUAUCUAAUAGUAUCUCUUCAUGGGUCCUCAGCAGAAAGAAAGCAGGGCUUAGCACAGACUUCACAUUUGGGCAGUGUGGAUUACACUCUAGGAGAGGAAUGCUUCUGGGACAGUAGGAAAUGAGCCAAUCUGAGAGCUACAUUCUGGAAGGACAGUUAGGGGCAUGGGCACUGGGUCUCAGCCAAAGCCCAUCACUGAGCAGCAGUUUGUUUGUCUUUGUACUUCUGGUAGACCUUCAGGAUUUCCAUGAUGACAUGGGGGUCCUCCAAGGUGGUGGUAUCUCCCAGAUCCUGAACUCUUCCUGUAAUUAUCUUCCUCAGGAGCCUCCGCAUGACUUUUCCAGACCGAGUUUUUGGAAGACGCUUCACAACCUGGCAAGGAAAGGGUGUGGAAUUCAAGUUCAGGUGGUGCCCAUACUCCCAGCAGUGUCCACCUGCACUGGGAUAACAGCAAGGGAUGACACCCUUCCUGGGGGCUCAGGAAUGAAUGACUGAGAUGCCAGGCCUGCCCCAAAGAUAUGGAGACCUGUGGUCUCUGGUUAUAUCUUCACACCAUCUGGACCUAAAGCUGAAAUCAACCUGAAGGGCAGAAUCAACCACACAUCAGGGGUUUGCUGAAGCCUUCCUCCAGGUCAGGUCUGUCCAUACCUGGGUCUGCCUCACUGCUGAUACCUCUGUCUCCUGUUCACUACAUUAAUGAGGGCUCCCAGAUAGGAACAGAACCAAGUAUAUGCCAUGGCACCUCGUCUCCACCCACUGGCCGGGCCCAAAGUGGCUUUUUGCUGACAUAAGUGGUAAGAGCUACUUCAGACAAAAAUGUUGUCUUGCUUAGUAUUUGAAAAUUCAGCAUUUUCAAAUAGCCAUGGCCCCUUUAAUGUGAACAGCAACAUGCUAAGAGCUAUGUUUGGGGCUUAUUUGGAACAGUGACCUAUCUUUUGAAAGGGGAGUUCAGGUCUCCCUAAAACUCUGGUCACCAAACAGCUUGACUUCGUAUGACACCAGGGGAAGCUAGGGCCAUUCCCAUCUCAGAGGACCUCCUCUGAACCAAGGAAGACUGUGGGGGGAAAUGUUAACAAAGGAAGGAGUGGAAACCUAAUAAGGCUAGAGAAUGGGCCCCCUUCUUCCCCAGACCGGACUCUAACACAGACCCUCUCAGACAGGGUCUGGCAGUGUCUCCUGCACUGACACCAGGAGAUAUGUUCAGAAUCUAACUGGGGCUGGGGAACACUGGUACUUUCCCCAUGUUUCUCUAUUUAAAAUCUCUUAUGAAUAAGGCAGAGACUUAGACAAAAUGCAACAAUGGAGGAAUUUAUCCCAAAUGCAAGAAAAAGGUAAGUCCAUGGCCAGAGAUCUAAGUGGAACAUAUAUAAGUAACAUGCCUUAUAAGAUAUAAGUAACAUGCCUGAUGGAGAAUGUAAAGCAACAAUCCUAAGGAUACUCACUGGGCUUGAGAAAAGAAUAGAAAACAUCAGUGAGACCCUGACCACAGAGAUAACAGACUUAAAAAGGAAUCAACCAGAGAUGAAGAACUCAAUACUCAAGAUUGGAAACAGGCUUAAUGCAAUGAACAGCAGACUGGAAGAGGCAGAGGAAUGAAUUGGUGACUUAGAAGACAAAAUAAUGGAAAAUAAUGAAGCUGAACAAAGGAGUCCCAGAAGAAGAGGAGAGAGAAAAGGGGGCAGACAUUUUUUUUUUGAAGAAAUGAAAGCUGAAAACUUUCCUAAUCUGGGGAAGGAAACAGACAUCAAGAUCAAGGAGGCACAGAGAACUCCCAUCAAAAUCAACAAAAGCAGGCCAACACCAAGACCUAUUAUAAUUAAAUUUGCAAAAUAUAGUGAGAAAGAAAAAUCCUAAAAGCAGCAAGAAAGAAAGUCCUCAACUUGUAAGGGAAGACCCAUAAAGCUAGCUACAGAUCUGUCCUCAGAAACUUGGCAGACCAUGAUAUAUUCAACAUGCUUAAUGGGAAAAAUCUGUAGCCAACAACACUCCAUCCAGCAAGGCUACCAUUCAGAGCAGAAAGAGAGAUAAAGAGUUUCCCAGACAGACAAAACCUAAAGAAGUUUGUGACCACUAAACCGGCCCUGCAAGAAAUAUUAAAAGGGGACUCUGAGUGGAAAAGAAGGACCAAAAGUGACAAAGACAAGAAAGGAUCAGAGAAAAUCUCCAGAUACAAUGACAAAACAAGUAAUAAAAUGGCAAUAAGAAUAAGUACAUAUCCAUCAAAAAUUACUUUGAGGGGCGCCUGGGUGGCUCAGUCGGUUGAGUGUCCAACUUCAGCUCAGGUCAUGAUCUCACAGUCUGAGAGUUCGAGCCCCACGUUGGGCUCUGUGCUGAUAGUGACAGCUCAGAGCCUGGAGCCUGCUUAGGAUUCUGUGUCUCCCUCUCUCUCUGACCCUCCCCCAUUCAUGCUCUGUCUCUCUCUGUCUCAAAAAUAAAUAAACAUUUUUAAAAAAUUAAAAAAAUUAAAAAAAUUACUUUGAAUUUAAAUAGACUAAACACUCCAAUCAAAAGACCUAGAGUGACAGAAUGGAUAAAAAAAAAAAAAAAAGACCCAUCUAUAUGCUGCUUACAAGAGACCCAUUUUAGAUAUAAAGCCACCCUGCAGAUUAAAAGUGAGGGGAUGGAGAAAUAUUUACCAUGCAAAUGGAUGUCAAAAGAAAGCCAGAGUAGCAAUUCAUAUUUUGGACAAAACAGAUUUUAAAACAAAGACUAUAACAAGAGACAAGGAUACUAUAUAAUCAUAAAGGGGAUAAUCCAACAAGAAGAUAUAAUAAUUGUAAGUAUUUAUUCUCCCAAUAUUGGGAGCACCCCAAUAUAUAAGACAAUAACAAAAAUAAAGGAACUAAUUAAUAAUAAUACAAUAAUAAUAGGGGACUUUAACACCCCACUUACAUCAAUGGACAGAUCACCUAAACAGAAAAUCAACAAGGAAACAAUAGCUUUGAAUGACACACUGGACCAGAUGGACUUAACAGAUAUAUUUAGAACAUAUCAUCCUAAAGCAGCAGAAUACACAUUCUUUUUGAGUGCACAUUGGACAUUCUUCAGAAUAGAUCACAUAUUAAGUCAUAAAACAGGUCUCAGCAAGUACAAAUACACUAAGAUCAUACCAUGCAUGUUUUCUGAUCACAACACUAUGAAACUAGAGGUCUACCACAAGAAAAAAAAUUGGAAAGACAACAAAUACAUGGAGAUUAAACAACAUGCUACUAAAGAAUGAAUUGGUCAACCAGGAAAUCAAAGAAGAAAUAAAACAAUAUAUGGAAGCAAAUGAAGAUGAAAACACGUUGGUCUAAAACUUUUGUGAUGCAGCAAAAGUGGUUCUAAGAGGGAAGUAUGUAGCAAUACAGGUCUACCUCAAGAAGCAAGAAAAAUCUCAAAUAAACAACCUAACCUUACACUCAAAGGACCUAGAAAAAGAACAAUAAAUGAAGCCUAAAGCCAGCAUAAGAAGGGAAAUAAGAUUAGAGAAAAGAUAAAUGGUAUAGAAACUAAAACAAAAUAAAUAAUAAAACAGGUUCAUGAAACCAGGAGCUGACUCUUUGAAAGAAUUAACAAAAUUGAUAAACCCCUGGCCAGACUUAUCAAAAAGAAAAGAGAAAGGACCCAAAUAAAUAAAAUCACAAAUGAGAGAGGAAAGAUAACAACCAACACCACAGAAAUACAAACAGUACUAUAAGAGAACAUGAAAAAUUAUAUGUCAAAAAUCUGGAUAAUCUGGAAAAAAAUGCAUAAAUUCUUAGAAACAUAAAAACUACCAAAACUGAAACAAGAAGAAAUAGAAAACUUGAACAGACCAAUAACCAUCAAAGAAAAUAAAUCAGUAAUCAAAAACUCCCAACAAACAAAAAGUCCAGUGCCAGAUGACUUCACAGAUGAAUUCUACUAAACAUUUAAGGAAGACUUAAUACCUAUUCUUCUCAAACCAUUCCAAAAAAUAAAAAAGGAAAGAAAACUUCCAAAUUCAUUCUAUGAGGCCAGCAUUAUCCUCUUACCAAAACCAGAUAAAGAUUCCACUAAAAAAGAGAACUACAGGCCAAUAUCCCUAAUGAACAUGGAUGCAAAAAUUCUCAAUAAAAUCCUAGUAAAUUGAAUCCAACAAUACAUUAAAAGAAAUAUUCACCAUGAUCAAGUGGGAUAUAUUCCUGGGCUGCAUGGGUGAUUCAAUACUUACAAAUCAAUCAAUGUGAUACACCAUAUUAAUAAAAGAAAAGAUAAAAACCAUAUGAUCAUUUCAAUAGAUCCAGAAAAAACAUCUGACAAAAUACAGCAUCUAUUCGUGAUAAAAAACCAUCAACAAAAUAGGUUGAGAGGGAACAUACAUCAACAUAAUAAAGGUCAUAUAUGAAAAGCUAACAUCAUCCUCAAAGAGGAAAAACUCUCAAUUUUUCCUCUAUGGUCAAGAACAUGUCCACUCUCACUGCAGUUAAUUAACAUAGUACUGGAAAUCCUAGCCACAGCAAGUAGACACCAAAAAGAAAUAAAAGGCAUCUAAAUCAGCAAGGAAAAAAGUAAAAUGUUCACUAUUUACAGACAACAUGAUACUCUAUAUAGAAAACCUGAAAUACUCCACCAAAACAUUGCUAGAACUGAUACACAAAUUCAGUAAAGUCAUGGGACACAAAAUCAACAUACAGAAAUCUGUUACAUUUCUUUUUUUUUUAAAGUUUUUAUGUAUUUUGAGAGAGAGAGAAAGAGCACCAGGGAGGGACAGAAAGGAGGGAGAGAGAAUUCCAAGCAGUCUCUGCACUGUCAGCGUGAAGCCCAACAUGGGGCUCAAACCCAUGAACUGUGAGAUCAUGAUCUGAACUGAAAUCAAGAGUUGGACGCUUAAACAACUGAGCCACCCAGGUGCCCCUGUUAAAUUUCUUUAAACUAAUAAUGAAGCAGCAGAAAGGGAAACUAAGGAAUCAAUCCCAUUUACAAUUGCACCCAAAACCAUAAGAUACAGAGGAAUAAUCCUGACCAAAAAGGUGAAAAACUUGUACUCUGAAAACUAUAAAACACUGAUGAAAGAAACUGAAGAUGACAUCAAGAAAUAGAAAGACAUUCCAUGCUCAUGAGUUGGAAGAACAAAUACUGUUGAAAUGUCUAUACUACCCAAAGCAAUCUGCACAUUUAAUGCAUUCCCUAUCAAAAUACCAACAGCAUUUUUUCACAAGAACUAGAACAAACAAUCCUAAAAUUUGUAUGGAAC